UACGUAGGGUGCAAGCGUUAAUCGGAAUUACUGGGCGUAAAGCGUGCGCAGGCGGUGCUGUAAGACAGAUGUGAAAUCCCCGGGCUCAACCUGGGAACUGCAUUUGUGACUGCAUUGCUGGAGUACGGCAGAGGGGGAUGGAAUUCCGCGUGUAGCAGUGAAAUGCGUAGAUAUGCGGAGGAACACCGAUGGCGAAGGCAAUCCCCUGGGCCUGUACUGACGCUCAUGCACGAAAGCGUGGGGAGCAAACAGG
rnacentral:rRNA from 1 species